rnacentral:lncRNA from 1 species
UGGAAUAUGAGAAAUCUUGGGCCACUCUGAGCCGCUCUCCUUGUUGCAUCUCUCUUUUAGAAGGGGACAAUCCAAAAUGAAUAUGCGUUUUAAUUUGGUGAGACAUUGCAUAGCUUCUAGUGUAGGUAGAUACAUCAUAUUCUUGCAAAGAUGUAUAUACAGGUACUCAAGAGAUGUAAGGUUUCUCAACCACUCUGGAAGAGCCUCCAUUCCGUCAAAGCAUUGCACUUCAAGACAUGUUAGAGAAGUCAAGUGUUGAAUUUGCUCGGGCAGAGACUUGAGCUUAGGCCAACCCCAUAACUUCAAUGUUUCAAGUUGUGAUGUAACCUGAAAAGCAGGGAAUGAAUCAAGCUCCUUCCAAAAGCCACCGAUUUCCAAUGUCUUCAAGUGGGUGAGGCAGGAUGUUAUUGCUAACCCAUUGGGUAGACUUUUCAAUCCAUCGCAAGAAAAUAUCCCCAAUUCAUGGAGGUUUGUGAGGUUGUCUAAACUUGUAAUAGAUUCUACAUUCGGCAACUUGCUUAUUAUCAACACCUCAAGAGAAGAACAUGAUUCUAGCCCUAUUGGCAGACUUGUCAAUCCAUGGGAAUCUUUAAUUCUCAAUUCACGAAGGCAUGUGAAGCCGAGUAAACUUGGAACAAACUUUGGUCUCCUGUUGCAACGAAAUAUAGACAACUUCCGGAGGGAUGGGAGGCUGUGAAUCAAAGCGGAUGUUAGCAUAUCACAAUUUGAUAUUGCCAACUCCUGAAGAGAGGUAUAAUAAUCUAACCCACUCGGUAGACUUGACAACUCCUGACAGCCUGUAAUCUUUAAUUCACAGAGGGAUGAGAGGGGCUGUGUAACUGGAAUCAACUCUAGACUACCGCAAUCUUCCACAAUCAGGUUCUUAAGAGAUGUUGUGAGUAGCCCAUCAGGAAAAUAAGCAAGAAUAGGACACUUGGAAAUACGCACUGACUCAAGAAGUGCGCAAGAGCCAACUACAUCAAGAGCAAUACAAGUUAGCUCCUGACAAUCUUUUAUCUCCAAGUAUGCAAGAUUCUUGUUGUUUUUAAGCAUCCCUUCUGGCAGAGAAACAAGUCCGCUUAUGUUCCUUAUUGCGAGCGAAGUAAGAGUGGUCAGCUUAUUGCUUAUGUUUGCUAUUGGCAUGCCGCUACCCAUGGAAUCUAUCUCCAACGUCUUGAGAGAUGGGAAAUGGCUAGGAGCACUUCUCAAUUUAUCACAAUUCCUCAAAACCAGCUCCUCGAGACAAGGAAAGACCACGAUCCCACUUUCUGGCCAUUCAGUUAGGUUCCUAGCAUUGUAAAUCUUUAACCUUUUCAAUACAGGAAACGAACUACUCAUGAUCCAUGAUGGACAUUUAUCACCCAUGAAGUUGAAAAAUUGUAAAAAUUCCAGUUUACUAGGGUGUGGUUGAAGGCCUUCUAGUACCUCUUCAUCAUUGGUGAUGCUUGACCUAUCCUCUGCCCACUGAAACUUUAACUUGCUUAUGUUUGUCUUCUUCACUAAUUUUGCUUUCUUGGCUUCUUCUCCAUCUCUCACGUGCUCUAGAUUAUAGAUAGUUAAUCUGCCUUUUAACAAGUUUAAGCCAGCCAGCUCCUCUAUUCCACGACCUGUCUCCUUACCCACGAUGAAAUAUUUUAAUGUUCGGAGAUUAGUCAAUCGCCCUAUCCUUGCUGGAAAUUUCAUACCAUACGGAUAAAAAUAAAUAUGUCUCAAGUUUAUCAAAUUUUGCAGUUCUUUUGGAAACUCUUCAAGCUCGACCUCUUUCAUUCUUAAUGUUUGUAGAUUAUAAAGCUUUCCAAUGGAUUUGGGGAGUGCUUUGAUCUUUGUAUAGGAAACAUCCAGAUACCUCAAGUGUUUCAACUUUCCAAUUGCAAUUGGCAACUCCUUCAUAUAAGUUUGAUAUAAAUUUAAGACACGCAAACCUCUAAAGUUUGGUAAGAUAUCACCAAGAACUUCAACAUUCAAGAAAAGUGAGCGCAAUUUAUGAGCACCUCUUUCUGGAACUCCAUGUAGCACUGAGGUAGGAAUAUGUGCCAUAUGUCGAGUCUCAUUGGAGUCAUUACUCUUCGUUUUUGACACAAGUUCUGCGAGAUCAUGCACAAGGUCGUGCAUUUUGCAACUUGUAAUAUUACCAUACCAAUCCUUUUCAACGUCUUGAAAGAAAGAGUUGUUCAAUAGAAUAUUAAAAUAUUCAUUUCCUAUAUCCUCCAUCUCUAGAUUACGUCUGUUGGGAGGAGAAGGGUAAAGCAAUCCUUGAGCCAUCCAAAGUUGGAUCAAGUCAUCCUUUUCAAUUUCGAAAUCUUUGACAAACAUUGAGCAAUAUGCAAAACAUUGUUUCAAAUAUGGUGAUUUCAAUUUAUCAAAACUCAACUUCAAAACCGACAAGAUUCUUUCUUCUCCUUCUGGUAAAUCCCAUAUUCUACUUUCUAGAAUUGACCGACAUCCAUCAAUAUCUUGAGAACGCAUCAUAUUUCCCAAAACCUAGUGUACAUGAGUUUGAAUUUGUAUUAAAUGAUAAUAAUGAGGUAAAUUAACAAUAAUAACAUUAUAAAACGGAUCCUUAAAAUAGUCAUCAUGCACCCCUCACUUAAAAUAUUCUCAGCAUAUGCAAUCAGUAAUCCUAUUAGGUCAGUUUAGUACUUAAUUAAUAUAAAGCUACCAUAAAAUUUCAAUAUAUUUGUUCCAUAUACAAAAGAAAAAAAAUGAUAUAGAUCUAAUACUAAUGCAUGCAUAAAUCAUGAAAUUUCACUUAGAACCCCUGAAUUUUAGCAUAAUUACAGCUAGAGCCACAUGUUUCAUUUAUUGCAAUCACACCCCCUAAAUCUAAUUAGAUUAAAGAAAAAACCCCCAACAAAAUCAGGCACUACCCCCAACCAAACCCUUCAGCCACAACCCCAUCCAAGCCCAUCCUCAAUCCAUCCCCAACUAACCUCCCCGACCAAAAAUCCCACCCAACCACCCCGGCGCACCACCAAGCUCUUGUGGGUUAGAGGUUUAUAAAUGAAGAACAGAAAAGAACAAGAAGAAAAAAGUACUUCAACACAUACCUUUGCCACUAAUGGUACACCUGCACACUUUUUGGCAAUCUCCCUUCCGAUUCUCUCUUGAUCUUCAGUCAAAACAACACUCGCAUCUAGAAACGCUUUAUACUUCAAUAUGCACCAGCAUUGAUCCUCCGAUAAUUUUCCCAGAACACAUGUAGGAAGUGUUUGUACAAUUGAUGAAACACUCACAUUGCGAGUAGUGACAAGGAUUUUGCUUGCUUUAGUGCUUGUAGCAUUCAACAAGCAACUCAUCAAAUCGUCCCAUUUGCUACGAUCGUCGUUCCAAACAUCGUCAAGCACGAGAAGAUAUGUCUUCCCUUUCAAAUCUUCUUGCAGGUUUUCACAUAUUGUUGCUUUACCCUUUAUCCCAGCUUUCUCUGGUUUAAGACAUUCCAAGAUCUCGCUUAAAAUCUUUUUGACUUCAAAAGGAGUAGAUACACAUACCCAUAUUUUUUGAUCGAAGUGUCUACCUAUCUCAGGAUCAUUAUAUACAGAUUUAGCCAAAGUUGUCUUGCCCAAGCCUCCCAUCGCCACAAUGGCCAUAACAGAAAGACAAUUGUCUUGGUUCUUGCCAGAGUUGAUCAGGGUUGUAACUAUGUCCGACGCAACCUCCUUCCUUCCAACAAUGUACUUUUCAUCUUGAUCAAAGUUUGAGACGGUUUCCCUGUCAAGUCCUCCAAUAUCAUGAGAUGUUGCAUUGACCAGUGUUGACCUAUCAACCAGUCCAAUACUAGCUGCCUCAUUCUUCAGGUUUGCCAAAGAUGCAUUGAUGUUUUUAAUUUUAUGUGCCAUUUUGCGACGAAAUGCAAUGGGAUUGUGGCGUGAAAAGAAGUUGAGCACCUUGUUCUUGAUCUGAUUUUGGAUCUCCACUUUCCGCCGGAGAAGUUCAUAUUCAUAUUCAUCCAACACAUCAUCUGCUUCAUGAGCUAUGCCUUCCAGAUCCUUCACCCACAUCUCCACCCUCUCACCCCGAACUUGUAAAUGUUGUGCAUCUCUGAGCAUAGCUUCCAACUUGAAUAAUGAGUCUCGUAGAGUUGUUAGCUCUCCUUUGAAUCCCCAGAGAAGACUGAGUUCUUGCUCUGCAAGUGAAGCCACCCUCGUCAGAAUUCCCUCAGCACCAAAAGUAAGAAACUCUGCAGCCAUAUUUUCUUUCAGUGUUGCUCAAGACAGAGAGCAGAAUGCUUAGUUUGGGUUAGAAAAGUAGAGCAAAAUUGAGGACGCAAUGUAUCUUUGAGAAGGUUGUGAGGGAUUUGUAGACAAGAAGGUGCGCAUAUGGCUGGCGUAAAAAGAUAUAAUAAUUGAAGAGAGCAUCAAGUGCUGUCGGUUGGAUUAUCGGGGUUGUUUGGAAUACUUUUGAAAAAAUAAUAAUGAGAAUCGGCACCAAGUCAUUCUUUAUCCCGCUCCAGUCCAAAACCAAAAAGUCACAAGAAAUUAAAAAAUUUAUAAUGGCGACGUGGUGGGGACCUCGGAUUUGAUGAGACAUUAGGCUACUGUUAAUUACUUUUCUUGUGUCCGUAGACGCUUUUUGAUUAAUCGAUGACAUUGUCGUUGUUGAGAAAUAAUCAAAGAAAGUUGUUAAUAGCUCAUCAAAUUUGCACGUCAUUAGGUUCCAUGAGGAGCGCUUGCCCUUAAACGAUUAUUAAAAGAUGCUAAGUGCUUAAUAAUCUUUUUGAAGCAGUCAAAGUUGGACAAACAUUAUUUUAACUCUAUGUUCAAGAGGGCCUGGGACAAUUAUUUUGAAUUUUGAUUCUUGAAUAAAAUUUUAAUGCAAAGUCCUUUAUAAUGAAUACACGUCAACGUAGGAAAUAAAGCAAUGUUAUGUUACAAAUUGAAACGAAACAAAAUUAUAAGACAGUGUUUUAGUUAUAAAUACAGUGGCAUAUAGUAAGUAUUACGCUACAAAACUAUAAGUUAUAAGUAGAGAAUCCGAAUUUUUUCCAACUGAAUUAUUUGUUAACACGAAAAUCGAACUUGGAAUCUUUAUCCUUUACCUCAAUUGGGUCUAAUUUAAUGCUUAUUCAAUGGUGAAAACACUUCUUGCUACUAUAAUAAUACUACUACAUUUGAGCCAAGACUCAAGUCUUAGGCUAUCUUCAGUCAUAGGGCUAAAUAUCGUCUAGGGCUAAAUAUUUAGCCUCCAAAAUAUUAAUUUUUUAAAGAUAGUAUAGGGCUAAAUUUUUUCAUCUCCAGCCAUGCAAGGCAAUAUUUUAGGGUCCUUUAUAUUUUAUUAUUUUGAGAAAAACUAUGGUACAACACUCAUGCAUUCCACAACUAUGUAUUGUUUAAUUUAAUUAAACUACUAUUUAGAGACAAUAUUCCAUGACCAAUAAUUUUUUUUAAUUUUUUUUAAACAACACUUGAAAACAUUUAAAAAGGUGACCACAUUUAUUUAUUAUUAUUUUUUAAAAGGAUGAGUUUCAAUGGUCUGACCUCCAACGAUCAUGACUAGUAAUUUUUUAUAAUUUUUUUACAAAUUGAAAAUAUUUGAAAAGGUGAUCACAUUUUUUUUUAAAAAAAAGUUGGGUUUCAAUAGUCUGACUUCCAAUGGUCAUGACCAAUAAUUUUUUUAAAUAAAUGUUUCUUAAACAACACGAAUUGAAAACAUUUAAAAAGGCUUUUAAAAAUAUAUCGAUGAAGUCAUCACUUUUAUUGUUGGCUGUUGGAUAUGAAUUUGCACGAGAUAAUUCGUGUUGUUGCCCACACUUAAUAAUUUAUCUUCUUCAAAAGCACACACCUGAACCCUAAAGCUGGGCCAAAUAUGGCCCAGUUGGAGGGCAAAAUGGCUAAAUUUGGCCAAAAUUUUAUUUAGCCCAUGACUGGAGAUGAGUUUCGCAUUAUUUUAGAGCUAUAUUUGGGAUAUAUAGGGCUAAAUGUAAUCCAGGACUAAAUAUUUAGCCCUCUAAAAUAUUAAUUUUUUAAAAAUAAUGUAGGGUUAAAUUGAGAUACUUAAAUACAAAUCGAAUCUAAAUUCAAAAACUAAUAAAACAAUUAAUCCCAAUAAUAAUUUAGGAGAGCGCCAAGUGCUGUCGGUUGGGCUACUAAUCCCACGAUGAUUGUGUGGAAUUAUUGCAUGUAAUAAUUGUGUGUGGAAUACUUUUGAAAAAAAAAUUAAAAUUGUGCAUGGAAUAAUUGUGGAUAGAUAUCCUUGUGCUUAGAUUCUGGAUGAGGUUGUGGACGGGCUUAAAAUGAAAGGAUGGUAUAGUUGUUUUGUCCAUUUGUGAUUAACAAAUUUUCUUUGUAUAUUGUCACCCAAAUACAUAAACUAAAUGCAAGGGACUUGUAUUAUAACUGGUUAAAAAUAUUUAUUCAUAAAUUGAAGGUAUUAAGUUUAAUUACACUUUUUUUUAGAAUUGCUUUUUAUUAAAAAAAAAAAUACAUGAACUAAAUGAACCGUUUAUCACGAGAAUCUUAAUUAUUAUCAAAUUCCAGAUUUUUACAGGAAACUUACAUUGUGAAUUUACUUUAACCACCAGGACCUGCAACUAAAUAUAAUCCCAUCCCAAUUCCAAACAAUCAAUUUCACAUCUGUAAAAUUUUCUCGUUAUGGCCCUCAAUUUCACUAAUUAUGCGUAUUAUCUCAAAAUUUACAACGAACAAAUAAAUUCCACCGGGGGUGUCCGAAUGACUAAGCAGUACAGGAACAGAAAUAGAAAAGCUUAUAUGUGAUUGCCAUUUCAAGUUGCAACUGUUGUUACUCUGCCUUCCUCUCAAUCUCUUCCAGUGCUUCCCACAAUUUUGUCUCCUCAAAGUCUCUUCAAUAACGAAGGCCACUACUGGCAUUCCAGCUGCUACUCCAGCUUUCACCCCUGAAACAGAAUCCUUAACAACCAAAAACAGAACACAGAUGAGUGCAAGGCAUAUCAAAAACUUACUGGAGAAUGCUGUUGUUAGUAUUGCAAAGCACACAGUUCUGAGAGCCGAACCUCAAAUGCGAAAGGGUCAGGAAAUGGUUUCGCUCCAUCACAUUCAUCUCCAACAACAACAAAUUCAAAGAAAUUCAAGAGCUCCACCAUUUGGCCUUGGAGCAUUUGUCCCUGCAGUCUGUAUCAAGCCUUGAUUUUCAAUCCAUUGGUGCAACUUGUGGAGGUCCUUAACAGGUUCUACUUGUUCAGAUGCCAAUCUGAUCUCAUUGGAUGAGAGAAAAUGAAACAGAUGAAGCAUUUUUUUCUUUCAGAAAACUAUUGGAACACUCUGAGUAUAUAAUUGAAAAGCAUUUUUUUUCUUUCCAAAAACUGACAAGAAAAGACGACCCCCUGUUAUUAAUACCACAUUAUGUCCAAAUCAAUAGGGUGUGUGAUUAAUCUAAAACGUCACAAAUUUUGUCUAGCUUAAAACAAAAUAAAAAAGCUUCUGAUUUUGUUGCAUAGCAGUUUACUUGAGUUGCACAUUCUAAAACAAGAAAUUCUUAGCAAUCUGAUGUGUAACAUAAAUACGAAAUACAUAAAAAAUUAAAAAUAAGAAUAAAAAGAGUUGAUUUUUUCACUUCUCUUUUGUUCACUUGGAUGCUGAUUCUUGGAUUACACUUAUAAAAACCAAAAGGUAAGUGGACAAAAACAGAGUGCGAAAAUCAGCAGCCAAAAAAAGGGAAAGAGAGUGGAGCAAUAAGAUAGGAUGCUGGUUCUUGGGUUGUUGGGCUUGGUGCUUUAAAUGUUAGGAAGCUCACAUUUGUAUCCAAAAUCCAUCUUUGGACACCCAUGUUAAAUUUUAAAUAAAUUUUUAGUUUUCUUUGGACACAGAAUUUGACAAAUUAAAAUACAAUAUAUAAUGAAUGUUUUCAUUACUAAUAUAAAAAUUUCCACUUGUUAGGGUUUGUAGGUUCCUUAAAAAUUAGUGUUGGUCAUAGUGGACCGGUGAUCUGUCUCUUUGAUCGGGCCUGAAUUUCACAUACGUAAAAGAUGUUCUAUAAUAGCAAGCCCAAAGAGGAAACAAAUUUGUGUACUCUUUUUCCUUAAGAUUUAAAAAUACAGAGUGGAAUGUAUACCUGUAGAAAUUGGAGAGCUUUUGAAUACCUUCACAACACAAGAGAAACCAACAACCUUACUUUUUCCAGAAAGAAUCAAUCCUAUAAAGCUGUUAGAAAGCUAAUAUAAUAUCUGAGCAUCAUCUUCAAAACAGAAAACCAUCUGGUGGAAAGUACCUGGACUCUGUUUGCUCCCAUUACAAAAAAUGUUCCUUCAGGUAACAAAUAAAAAACCCACCUCCAAAUUAUGCCAAAAUAACAAUAGACCCUACCUGCAGAAGCAACAUCAUAGACAGAGAGUAAACUCAUGAGAAAAAAGAACAACAGAGGCUAGGGAGUUGCUUGUAUCAAAUACUAAUUAUAAAUACGACAUAAUAAUAUGAAUUCCACACCUGUAGGCUGUAGGCUGUAGGCUGUAGGGAAGGGAGACCUUUUCUUCAAUCAACUCUCCACACCAGCACUUGUCUCAAGGAAAAAAGCAACUGACUUGAGUUGAAUGCCAGAGGAAAAGAAAAUGUGAUAUAUGGGAGAAAAGAGUUUUAUUCUUUUUAGAGAAUGAAAAAAGAAUGAUACCUUUAGAAGCAGAGUCACUCAGUGACUUGAGUUGAGGAUCAUUUUCUCAACAACAAUUCACACCACUUUCAACUAUUUCGCAUUUCAGGAUGAUACUUUCUCAGACUAUUGAAUCUGGUAGCUACAACCGUACGUGGUCAACUAGAGAUUUAAACAUAAAUAUUAGAAAUCAUUAUUUCGUAAAGGGGAAAGAAUUAGAAAGUAAUUAAGUUCAAUGAAAUGUAGGUGAAGAAAAUAGAAUGCAUAGUUGAUUUAAGAGCCAAAAAUAAUAAAAGCAAAAAGAAAAACAUACCAUAUAUUCUUGGAAUACGAGAAAUCUUAGGCCAUUCUGAGCCGCUCUUCUUGUUGCAUCUCUCUUUUAGAAGGGGACAAUGCAAAAUCCAUAUGCGUUCUAAUUUGGUGAGGCAUUGCAUAGCUUCGAGUGUAGGUAGAUACAUCAUAUUCUUGCAAUAAUAUAUAUCCAAGUACUUAAGAGAUGUAAGGUUUCUCAACCACUCUGGAAGAGCCUCCAUUCCGUCAAAGGAUUCCACUUUGAAAAAUGUUAGAGAAGUGAAGUGUUGAAUUUGUUCAGGCAGAGACUUGAGUUUAG